rnacentral:rRNA from 1 species
AUUGAACGCUGGCGGCAUGCCUUACACAUGCAAGUCGAACGGCAGCAUGAUCUAGCUUGCUAGAUUGAUGGCGAGUGGCGCACGGGUGAGUAAUACAUCGGAACGUGCCCUGUAGUGGGGGAUAGCUAGUCGAAAGAUUAGCUAAUACCGCAUACGACCUGAGGGUGAAAGUGGGGGACCGCAAGGCCUCAUGCUAUAGGAGCGGCCGAUGUCUGAUUAGCUAGUUGGUGAGGUAAAGGCUCACCAAGGCGACGAUCAGUAGCUGGUCUGAGAGGACGAUCAGCCACACUGGGACUGAGACACGGCCCAGACUCCUACGGGAGGCAGCAGUGGGGAAUUUUGGACAAUGGGCGAAAGCCUGAUCCAGCAAUGCCGCGUGUGUGAAGAAGGCCUUCGGGUUGUAAAGCACUUUUGUCCGGAAAGAAAUGGCUCUGGUUAAUACCUGGGGUCGAUGACGGUACCGGAAGAAUAAGGACCGGCUAACUACGUG